UGACCACGAGGUCCUGGUAGGCCAACAAA
rnacentral:sRNA from 1 species